UUUUUCAAAAACAUCGCCUCCUGCAACUUUCUAUGUAUAGGAGGUCCAGCCUGCCCAGUGACUACGGGUUCAACGGCCGCGGUAUUUUGACCGUGCAAAGGUAGCGCAAUCACUUGUCUUUUAAAUGAAGACCUGUAUGAAUGGCCAAACGAGGGCUUAGCUGUCUCCCCCUUCUAGUCAGUGAAAUUGAUUUACCCGUGCAGAAGCGGGUGUAAUUAUACAAGACGAGAAGACCCUUUGGAGCUUAAGGUACAAAACUUAACCACGUUAAACAAAUUUAUAAAAAAUAUAAACUUAGUGAGAUGCAAAGUUUUACCUUCGGUUGGGGCGACCACGGAGGAAAGACAAGCCUCCAAGCGGACGGGGCCAACACCCUAAAACUAAGAGGGACACCUCUAAGCCACAGAAUAUCUGACCAAUAAUGAUCCAGCAUAAAGCUGAUCAACGGACCAAGUUACCCUAGGGAUAACAGCGCAAUCCUCUCCCAGAGUCCAUAUCGACGAGAGGGUUUACGACCUCGAUGUUGGAUCAGGACAUCCUAAUGGUGCAGCCGCUAUUAAGGGUUCGUUUGUUCAACGAUUAAAGUCCUACGUGAUCUGA
rnacentral:rRNA from 1 species